GAUGAAGAACGUAGCGAAAUGCGAUAAGUAGUGUGAAUUGCAGAAUUCAGUGAAUCAUCGAAUCUUUGAACGCACAUUGCGCCCCUUGGUAUUCCAUGGGGCAUGCCUGUUCGAGCGUCAUUUGUACCUUCAAGCUUUGCUUGGUGUUGGGUGUUUGUCUCGCCUUUGCGUGUAGACUCGCCUUAAAAUAAUUGGCAGCCGGCGUAUUGAUUUCGGAGCGCAGUACAUCUCGCGCUUUGCACUCAUAACGACAGCGUCCAAAAGUACAUUUUACACUCUUGACCUCGGAUCAGGUAGGGAUACCCGCUGAACUUAGGCAUAUCAAUAAGCGGAGGA
rnacentral:misc_RNA from 1 species